UGUCUCGCAGCAGUUUUUGCAGAUUCGUGUUCAAACUUCAAACAGGCAUAACUUUGUCGUUAUAAAUCGAAACGAGGCUUAUAGUAUAUCGAAAUCUAUGUACUGAAAGUGUACUUUCCAACGGUGGUAGUCUGGUAAGCUAAUUUCAAUCGAGUAAAAAGAUAUGGCCAAAAUAAGACAGGCUGGUUGUGGUUGUUAUUCUUGUUUUGAGAGUUUUGUUGCGUUGGGCUGUUUGGUUGAGAUUGUACACUUAUGGGUCUUUAUAUUUGAUAUAUUUGGGUGUGUUGGAGUACCUUGGGGUAUGGAAAAGAUGUGUGAGGUCUCCCGAGUACGUGGGUACUCCCGGACACCUCUGGAGAUUUUGGUGACUUUAUGUAAUGUUUGCCCCAUGAGCUAGUGUAGAAGUGUAGAAGGCAUGUUAUGAUUUGUUAGUCUAGCAUUUGGUUUAACAUUCCUAGAUGUUCAUAUGCUAAUAUGGGUUAACUUGUGGCUAGGUAACGAGCCGGUCUUUUAGGAGGUGCCGAAACCGUAAGUUUGGCAUACUCCAGUCGAAUGAAAGGUGAGUGUGUCUGAUAUGGUUCUUCUCAAUAAGAUAUUGCGAUGGUGGUAGCAGGUGGCUUAGAGUGGGUCCACUACUGGUCAACGCUUUGGAGAGUGCUGGGACUAGUCUCGGGUGAUGUCGUUGGUUAGAUUGUUGUGUAGCUGAUUCGUCUAGAAGUUAACCUAAAUGUCUGUAAUUAAUUGGAGAGAGGGAUAUUUUUAUAACUUGUGAGUUGAGGUUUUGGCGUUGACUUGGUUGUAUUUUAAGUGAGAAGUCUUCCGCUAAGUUGUAUUCUGAUUGGUCGUAGAGUGUGGUGUGGUCUUUCGUAUGGAAUGCCACGUGGCCGCGCUGGCUCGGGCCCACUCUGGGUGCCGUUUGCGGGGCGGGGCGUGACAGCUUGGUAUCAGAGCUAGUACUUUCUAGACUCUGUGUUGAGAGUUGGUUGGGGGUUUGGUAGUGGACCAUAGGAGUUGAGGUUGUCGAGUAGCGGUUAGGGAUUUAACUAACGCGUGAGUUAUAUCCAUAACCAUUGUGUUUGAUGUUGACUGUUGAAACAGGUUUUUUCUGAUAAACGGAUUUGAAUCAUACGGUAUGUGUUGAGGAUGUUAUAUUUGGUGACAGUGUGGGAUUAACAACGAAUGUUAUUGACGGGGUGUUGUAGUUAUUGCACGGUUCACAUGAAUGCAGGGUAUUGAUAUGGCUCGAUUCAUGGGGCAGCAGAUGGUUGUGGUUCAUUGGCAGUUUGCACAGGGUUCAGGUACAUGUUUGCUUGAAAGGUUUAAAGAGAUUUUCCUUGUAUAGUUUGAGUGGGGUUAGUAUCUCUUUUAUUGCGGGAGGAUACAUGAGAUUUGUGGUACUAGAAUUGAAUGUUUUGAGCAUAGUGUCGGCGGUACCGUAGGUGGUGGUGUCGUGGGGAAGUUUUGACAAGUGUUGUAUCUAUUGGGGUUGUUUGAUGGUUAUGGGGUGAUCAUGUUUGUGGAAAUUUUUGUGUUUAAGGUUUAUUUAGGGUAGUGAUGUGCUUGCGGCAUAUGAUUUGGGUUGAGGGGAGAAUGAUUUAAGGUUGUGUGGUGAGUGAGAGUCCUAUGACAGUGCGAGUAGUUGAUGAGGUGAAUACGUGGAUGUUAUAAGUUUGGGGGUUUUAGUGGAUUUUAAGUUGUUGAGCUUAUAUGAGAGAAUAACAUAAUAGUUUGGAGUUUUGUGGGAAUGGUUUUGUUCAUUCCGUGAACUGGAAUAUGAUUAAAUGUGUUGUUAAGGUUAUAGUCUGGUGGGAGGUAAGGUUUGGGAAGCAGAGCGUGAGCUAGUAAGCGGUUGGUAAGUGGUGGUGUAACAUUGACACGUUAGUGUUUAAAUUAUGGGUUAAAAGAUUAUUCUGUUGGUGAGUGUCCUAUUGGAACUUUGGAUUUUGUGGAAAGUUUAUCAUUUCAAUGUGAACUAAUGGUUUUACUUAGGUUGUAGUGGGUUAGUUAACGAGGUCGGCACAUCUUUUACCAGUUGAGGUCCCUUGUACUACGGAUAAGUGUGCAAAAUUGUAUAUUGAUGGGAUUGUUGAGUGCACAGGGUGCAUGUGUCUUUUGUAGGUGACAGAGACCUACCGCGGAGUUGGGUACAACAACGGUUACUAGGGUUGGAGGUUGGUGAGAGGCAGAGAGAUGGUGGGUGUGAGGGUGAUGGUGAUGGCAGUGAAGGUGAUAGUGGUAAUGACGAGGAUGAUUGUGAGGAUAGUGGGAAUGGUAGUGAUAGUGCUGAGGAGAUUAAAGAGCAAAGGUUUCAAGUUUAGUGAGAGUUAGAGUUUUGAGAAAUCCAAAGAGGGUUCAGAGGAGACGAGAUAGGAGUACAGGCAGUGGAGAGCAGCGGUGGAGGGAGAAGAAGGAGAAGAAAAGGGAAUUAGGAUUAGAACUUGAAUUGAAGACCCUAUUUGGUAAUUCAUGCUUUCCUAUACUUAAAUCAAUGAUUUUAUUGUUCAAUUUCAUACUUGGUAUAUUGCUAGCUCUGAAUUGAAGCCAUGAGAGAUGGUUUUUGAGGUUGGAAUUGGGUUUAAUUUCAGAAAAUUCGUGGUAUAUUAUGAAUAUGCAUAACUGUGUUGAACCAAGUUGAAACUGUCCUAUUUUUGACGAAUUUAUUCAAGGUACCUAGAAAUCUUCUAAAUUCUUGAAAAAAAUCCUGAAUGUUUGUCUGUGAGUGUAUUGCAUCGUGUUAAAUUUUCAGAAAAUAACACAAAGUGGUUUGGCCUACAAAAUUCGUGGACCGAGCUGCUGUCAGAUUCGCGUCUGUGCAGGCAGCACAGACACGUGUUGGAAACACGGGCAUAACUUCUUGCUCGGGUAUCGGUUUUACGCACUGUUUCUUGAUUCCGAAACUAGACUCGUAUAUCUUUCUGAAUAUGUAUGGGUUGUGUCGUGGUUCUUUCUAGAUUAUAGCAGUUUUAGAAUUAAAGUUCAGGUUUUGUUAACUCUGGAAAUCUGGGCAGGUUUUGGAGCUAUGUUAUUCAUCAAUGUUGUCAUAGUUAAAUGUACUUACUGGCUAUGGGUUCUCGUGAGUCUUAAACACUGAUCAAUUGGUGAUGUUUUGGUAUUAGAAUUAAUGGAAAAGAUUGAGUAUGUGAUUUUUAAUGAGCAUUCGAUCACAGGCUGUUCUGCAGAAACUGCAGAGUUGUGUUUCUAAGUGUGCAUUUUUGUUUGAGAUACUGUGCUUGUGUGAGGAGUUGUUGAGAAUUUUCGUGCCUUGUGUAAAGGUAAAGUGUGAGG